GGGUGGCGAAGCGCCGCCGGGCGCUUGGUGGCCGCUGCCGCCGCCACUGCAGCUGUGCACGCCCGCCUCUCGGAGGAAACUUGAAGCCAGCAGUACAAGCAGGGCUGGAGGCCGAGCGGAGGUGGGGCGGGACCGGUUGGAGCAGGGACUCUUUAAACACCCAUCCGACCUUGGGACUAGGGAAACGUGGACUUGGUGGGCUAUUCUGCGCUGAAGAGGCAGCAACGAGGGCUCGGUGGUAUUGGUGUUGGUCCUAGUGGAAUUGUCAAGAGGAUGCUUUUGAAGUGGCCCAGCAUCUUGGAAGUUCACCAUGCUUGCUUUGCAAGAGAUUCCUGACGCUGCAGUGAAAGAGGUCCAGUCAUUCCAGAGAGAACUUCAGUUUCAGACAAGUCAUCAAAUCCAGAAAGCAAGGAAAAAUACCCUGAAAGACGACUGGCAAAUCUCGGUGAAAGAGUAGACGCACUUCAUGGAUUGGAGUGAAUCUUAGAGCACCUGACCUGAUGCCUGGAGGUACAGCAGCCAUCUUGUGACCAUAAGGAGGAAAUCAACGCAUUAAGAAGGGAAAAGCUAAGAAGAUACAGAGAGCAGGGACCACUGACAACAUGAUCAAGCCACUCUACCAGGCCUUAACUUCCUAUUCCCUGACUUCUUAUUGAAAGAGACAAUAAAACUUCUCAUUUGUUUUAACCCAUAGAAGUAAGGCAUUCUGUUACUUAUGGGUGAACACAAUUCUUAACUGAUGCCAUGGUUUAAUGGGAGUAGGGAUCCUGGUAUGACAGGAAAUUGAG
rnacentral:lncRNA from 1 species